rnacentral:rRNA from 1 species
UACUGAGUUACCGCUCUACAACCCUUUGUGAACAUACCUAACCGUUGCUUCGGCGGGCAGGGGAAGCCUCUCGCGGGCCUCCCCUCCCGGCGCCGGCCCCACCACGGGGACGGGGCGCCCGCCGGAGGAAACCAAACUCUAUUUACACGACGUCUCUUCUGAGUGGCACAAGCAAAUAAUUAAAACUUUUAACAACGGAUCUCUUGGUUCUGGCAUCGAUGAAGAACGCAGCGAAAUGCGAUAAGUAAUGUGAAUUGCAGAAUUCAGUGAAUCAUCGAAUCUUUGAACGCACAUUGCGCUCGCCAGCAUUCUGGCGAGCAUGCCUGUUCGAGCGUCAUUUCAACCCUCAAGCACCGCUUGGUUUUGGGGCCCCACGGCAGACGUGGGCCCUUAAAGGUAGUGGCGGACCCUCCCGGAGCCUCCUUUGCGUAGUAACUAACGUCUCGCACUGGGAUCCGGAGGGACUCUUGCCGUAAAACCCCCAAAUUCUUUACAGGUUGACCUCGGAUCAGGUAGGAAUACCCGCUGAACUU